CCAAGCUUUCCCCACAGCUGGGUCUGGGAAAAUUGUGGUCCUAUGGUUAUCUUGUACAACUUUUUCUGAAUGUCUGGAGCAGCUGAAGUAAUCACACACAUGUUGAGCACAGUGACCCCUUCAGGAGAAGAGCAGUCCAGGAAAUUGGACGGUGAAUGGGGAGAAGAAAUAGAAUACUUCCCAAGGACUUGGCCCCACUGUCAGGUCGCCAAGGCCUCUCACCACUAGCCAACUUAUGCCCCGUGGAGUAGCCCCGUUCCUAAAAAGGGAUGCCCGCAACACCAGGGCUAACAGCCACAUGGACAAGGAGGGCUCCGAGUUGUUGGGGUCAAUCAAAGGCAGCCUCUGCAAACAGCCCAAAUCCGCAAAGCGCAAUAGGAUUGCCCCAAUGGGGACCAACCGUCAAAUGGAGGUGGCUACUCUUCAAAAAUUGAUCCUUGCACAAAGGGCCAAAAUGCUCCUCUUCAACAGGCCAUCUUCAAAGAUUUCCCCUGAGAAGGGGAUGGAUUGCUCCAUGACAGGCCAGUUCAAACAGGGAGCCCCCCCUCCCUUCUCUCUCUCUGUUUACCCACAUUUGGAGCCCCUUCCGCCAAUACCCUUAAAGGACUCCCCAAAGGCCUCAAGCCCAAGAGGCUCACCCUGCCCACCUCCCAACUGAAGCCAGCGCAGCUCCUGGGCCAGAGCCAAAAUGGAGGAGAAGACACAGGUUUUCUGCAAGCCCAGUACUUCAGCAGAGACAAUAGAAAAAAAUUCCUCACCAAAGGCAAAUAGUGAACCCCCAAAUACCAAAAUCUCAGGAGACAUGGCCACGUCCACCCAGCACCCAGCACCCAGCAGUCAGUAAAUACUGAUCCUGUGUAGCUGCUGCUACUUGCAGAGGAACUUUGGACAACCCCCCCUUACUGCUAAAACAGAUCUCAACUUAAAAAAAUAAAUAAAAAAGCAGUAAAAACUCUGACUGUAAAUUGUUUUUAUAGUGAACUAGAAGAAUAGUUUUCAGACCCUGAAGAGACUAAACACAGAUCAUCUCCAGAUGAAUCUCAAAAGGUGACAUAAAUUGGCCCCAUCACACAAGACCCUCCUAGAAGAAAUGAAAAGGGAUCUUAAGAGAGAGAAGCAAAAUGGGUAAACAAGACAAAAAUUUUGCCAAGAAGGUUUGGAAAAGGCAACACAAAAUAGAAAAUGAACAUGAAAUAGAAAAAAGCCCCAGAAAAACAAAACUUGUGAAACAGAAAAAAAAAGAAAAGUCCCUCAAAAAACAGAAUUUGAAAUGGAAAAAAUUUCAUACAACAAAACAACAGCUCAUUCAAAAAUUCAAUUGGACAAAAAAAAAGUAAAUAAAAAAAGUAAAUGAAGAAAAAAUUCACUAAAAUCAGAAUUGAACAAAUGGAAAUGAAUGACUCAAUGACAUGAGAAGAAUCAGUCAAGCAAAAUCAAAGAAAAAGAAAAAAAAAGGGAAAAUUAGGUAUUUUACAUUUUUUCCUAAAUGGGAAAACAAGUGAUCUGGAAAAUAAAAUCUAGGAGAUACUGUCUAAGGAUUAUUGGCCUUCCUGAAAACCAUGAUGAAAAAAAAAAAGACUAUUUUUCAGGAAAUCAGAAUCAGAAGAUAAAAUAGCCAUUGAAAAAAUUCACCAAACAUCUCCUGAAACAGACCCCCAAAAUGAAAACUCCAAGGAAUCUCGUGGCUAAAUUAUAGAACUAUCAGGAAAAAAUAUCACAGCCAGAAAAAAAAUCAAAUAUCGAAGAAGCACAAUAAGGAUUUCCCAGGAACCUAGGAGCUUCCUCCUUAAAGGAUGGAAGGGCCUAGAAUCUGAUAUACUGAAAGACUAGGACCCGCUGCUUGGCAGAAGGCUCUGCCAACAGGCCCUGGGGGACCUCAGCCCGAGUCAACCUCACCACAUGGCGCCCUGGUGUGGAAAAGAAAAGUAAACUAACUCAACCACCAGGCUAAAUAUCUGUCCUCCACAGAAUUGGCUCCACUGUCAACAGAAGCUUCCACCAAUGGGCCAAGGUGCUCCUCUUCCUCAAUUGACCUUGCUUCUUUAUCAUAUAUUGGGUAAAAAAAAAAGAAAAAGAAAAAAAACCAAACACGCUGCCUCACCUCAACCCCUCCUAGGAUGAAUGUGUGCCUCCAGAGACUUGGCCCCAACACCUGGAAGAAGCCCUUGCCAACAGGCCAAAGAUGCUCUUUCCCAGUUGAACAGAAGGCAUUGUGCCAUCUUUGGAAAAAGACCCUCCCGUCCCCAAACACACCCACCCCACUCACCGUCCAGUCUGAAUGUCAGCCCUCCACAGCAGUGGUCCCACCGCCUGGCAGAAACCUCUGCAAAGGGGCCAUGGUGCUGCUCGUCCCCAGUCUUAUCUCACCUCACUUCUCUUGAAAACCUGAGCGAACAGAUGCCUGACAUAAAACUCCAGCCUUCACCAUCAUGGCAGCAGCUGGG
rnacentral:lncRNA from 1 species